rnacentral:rRNA from 1 species
AUUAAACGCUGGCGGCAUGCCUUACACAUGCAAGUCGAACGGCAGCACGGGGGGAACCCUGGUGGCGAGUGGCGAACGGGUGAGUAAAGCAUCGGAACGUGCCCUGGAGUGGGGAAUAACGUAGCGAAAGUUACGCUAAUACCGCAUAUUCUGUGAGCAGGAAAGCAGGGGAUCGCAAGACCUUGCGCUCUGGGAGCGGCCGAUGUCGGAUUAGCUAGUUGGUGGGGUAAAGGCCUACCAAGGCGACGAUCUGUAGCGGGUCUGAGAGGAUGAUCCGCCACACUGGAACUGAGACACGGUCCAGACUCCUACGGGAGGCAGCAGUGGGGAAUUUUGGACAAUGGGGGCAACCCUGAUCCAGCCAUGCCGCGUGAGUGAAGAAGGCC